GCCCGCCGCGGAGCCGCCGUAGUCCCAGUGGUUGGCCCCCGGCGCGGCCGCCUCCGCCUCGGCCGUCAAAGUCAGCGUUUCUCGGCGCGCGCUCAGGCGGCGACGGGAGGCAGCUCCGGCCCGCGGCACCGACACACCCACCGCCGCCGUGCCUGCGGGGAGAGGGGGGGAGAGCACCGAGGGAGCCCCGGGGAGCAGGGAGGCCACCGGAACGGAACAACUGGCGGCGAUGGGCCAGCCCCGCUCGGCUUGUUGUCGAGUUUAAGGCGCUAAAGCUGCACAACUUCCACCGCAAAGCUGGACGCAGUGAGAGCGGACGGGCCCGCCGCGCCCUUUCAAAAUAAAACACAGAGUAACGAAAACAA